AACGAACGCUGGCGGCAGGCCUAACACAUGCAAGUCGAGCGCGCCUUCGGGUGAGCUGCGGACGGGUGAGUAACGCGUGGGAAUAUGCCCUUCUCUACGGAAUAGUCCUGGGAAACUGGGGGUAAUACCGUAUACGCCCUUUGGGGGAAAGAUUUAUCGGGGAAGGAUUAGCCCGCGUUGGAUUAGGUAGUUGGUGGGGUAAUGGCCUACCAAGUCGACGUUCCAUAGCUGGUUUGAGAGGAUGAUCAGCCACACUGGGACUGAGACACGGCCCAGACUCCGACGGGAGGCAGCAGUGGGGAAUAUUAGACAAUGGGGGCAACCCUGAUCUAGCCAUGCCGCGUGAGUGAUGAAGGCCUUAGGGUUGUAAAGCUCUUUCAGCUGGGAAGAUAAUGACGGUACCAGCAGAAGAAGCCCCGGCUAACUCCGUG
rnacentral:rRNA from 1 species